AGGUUUAUUGCCUGGCUAUAGACAGCCCGAGAAAGAAAGUUAGCUUCCCACCCCCGGCAGCUGCAGUGAUUGGAAAACGAGCCUGAGCCUUUUCACCGAAAAGAAUAUAUCAUUAUCCGUUGGGUUCGCCCUACUUCCCUGUUAAGAAUCACCUGAAGUGCCUAAAAAUCCGCGAGUUUCAGGGCUUUUCCCUGGAAAUAAUGAUUUAGAACGUCCUGGGGGAGGGCCUAGGAGUCUGUGGGUUUAAUAAGCACCUCCAGGAUUUGUGUCUUCGGUCAAGCAUUGAAAAAUCCUGGAACUUUCAAUAUUUAUGUAGCCAAAGUGUCUCUCUUGCUCACUCACUUGCUUGCUUGUGUACCACUAAUUGAGCAACUACUAUGGGCCAGAUGCUCUGGAAAAUGUUGUUCUGAAGAGGAGUACUAAUCUUCACCAGUGGUGCACCUAGCUGUAUUUUGCACAUUAGGAAACAGACCCAGAGGCACACCUCCCAGAUGCAUCUUCCUCAUGGGGUUGUCGCAGGGUUUAAGAAAAUGAACUCAUAUAAAGGGCUCAGAAUAGUGUCUGGAUCACAGAACUCUGAAGAAUUUAUGUCAGUGAUUCUGAAGUGAGAAUGGAACAUGGAUCCAACCCCUCUAAGGCAGAAGAGAUGUGAGCAGAUUACCUUCUCUGUCCUUAAAAGGAGUGGCCCUGCAUUCCCUGAGAGGGCAUAGCUGGGGCAGUCAUCUGGACCCACCAGACAGGAGCUGAAGCUUGAUAAAAGGUGCCUGGUUCCAGUGACUAUGGAGCAGCCUGCCAGCACUAGAGGAGUCACAGAGAUGUCUAGAUGAGUCACAGAGACAUUUACAUGACAGAAAAAUAAACAACUAUGUUGUUUAAGCCAUUAUUAGUCAGUCUUUC
rnacentral:lncRNA from 1 species